rnacentral:rRNA from 1 species
UUUUUAACUCAAGUGGCGGACGGGUGAGUAACACGUAAGAAUUUGCCUUUAGGAGGGGGAUAACAACUGGAAACGGUUGCUAAUACCCCAUAUGCUUUCGAGUAAAACGGAUUUUCCGCCUAAAGAGAAGCUUGCGGCUGAUUAGCUUGUUGGUGAGGUAAUGGCUCACCAAGGCGACGAUCAGUAUCUGGUUUGAGAGGAUGAUCAGACACACUGGAACUGAGACACGGUCCAGACUCCUACGGGAGGCAGCAGUGGGGAAUUUUCCGCAAUGGGCGAAAGCCUGACGGAGCAAUACCGCGUGAGGGAUGACGGCCUAUGGGUUGUAAACCUCUUUUUUCAGGGAGGAAUCAAUGACGUGUACCUGAAGAAUAAGCAUCGGCUAACUCCGUGCCAGCAGCCGCGGUAAGACGGAGGAUGCAAGUGUUAUCCGGAAUCACUGGGCGUAAAGCGUCUGUAGGUCGUUCAAUAAGUCAACUGUUAAAUCUUGAGGCUCAACUUCAAAAUCGCAGUCGAAACUAUUAAACUAGAGUAUAGUAGGGGUAAAGGGAAUUUCCAGUGGAGCGGUGAAAUGCGUAGAGAUUGGAAAGAACACCAAUGGCGAAAGCACUUUACUGGGCUAUUACUGACACUGAGAGACGAAAGCUAGGGUAGCAAACGGGAUUAGAUACCCCAGUAGUCCUAGCCGUAAACGAUGGAUACUAGAUGUUGAACAGAUCGACCUGUGCAGUAUCAAAGCUAACGCGUUAAGUAUCCCGCCUGGGAAGUAUGCUCGCAAGAGUGAAACUC